GAUGAACGCUGGCGGCGUGCCUAACACAUGCAAGUCGAACGGAAAGGCCCUGCUCUUGUGGGGCGCUCGAGUGGCGAACGGGUGUGUAACACGUGAGUAACCUGCCCUUGACUUUGGGAUAACUUCAGGAAACUGGGGAUAAUACCGGAUAGGAGCUCUUGCUGCAUGGUGGGGGUAGGAAAGUUUCGGCGGUUGGGGCUGGACUCGCGGCUUAUCAGCUUGUUGGUGGGGUAGUGGCUUACCAAGGCUUUGACGGGUAGCCGGCCUGAGAGGGUGACCGGCCACAUUGGGACUGAGAUACGGCCCAGACUCCUACGGGAGGCAGAAGUGGGGAAUCUUGCACAAUGGGCGGAAGCCUGAUGCAGCAACGCCGCGUGCGGGAUGACGGCCUUCGGGUUGUAAACCGCUUUCGCCGGUGACGAGGCGAGAGUGACGGUAAUGGGUAAAGAAGCACCGGCUAACUACGUG
rnacentral:rRNA from 1 species